GAUCCUGGCUCAGGAUGAACGCUAGCUACAGGCUUAACACAUGCAAGUCGAGGGGCAGCAUGGUCUUAGCUUGCUAAGGCUGAUGGCGACCGGCGCACGGGUGAGUAACACGUAUCCAACCUGCCGUCUACUCUUGGCCAGCCUUCUGAAAGGAAGAUUAAUCCAGGAUGGGAUCAUGAGUUCACAUGUCCGCAUGAUUAAAGGUAUUUUCCGGUAGACGAUGGGGGGUG
rnacentral:rRNA from 1 species